UAAGCCAUGCUGGAGAAGCAGGGCACAUGCUAAAGCUAUCAGACAAAAAAAAAAUCUGAUAAAUUUUUGCAUGUGCCCUGCUUCUCCAGUUUGGACAC
rnacentral:pre_miRNA from 1 species